AUCUAUGACCGUGCUACCCUGGAUAAGCCUGAUCCUGUCUGAUCUUGGAAGCUAAGCAGGGUCAGGCCUGAUUAGUACUUGGAUGAGAGACCACCUAGCAAGACCAGGUGCUGUAGGCA
ensembl:rRNA 5S_rRNA 5S ribosomal RNA